CAGUUUUAAAGGAUGGAUAUGAAAUUUGGGCAACAUCUGAAGAGGAGCAGCUUGUAUUUGCCUUAAACUACACAUUAAAAGCAUGUGCAGCUGCCUGUAAGACUAAAAUAUGUGCGUGUUUGGAGACAGAGCAGAUGGAGUUUGGUUAGGUUCAUCAGAGCAGUUUGCUUCCAGCAUAUCAAAUAUAUUCUGCACACAGAGGAAUUUCAGAGUCUGCCAAUGCCUGCAAUACAUAUUCAUCUGCUGCACACAGCAGCUCAUAAUCAAACAGAGGGGAAGACAAACACAGAGCAUGGUCUUAUAAAUACUUGUAUCACCUGUGGGCUACCUCUGCUUUCUGAAUGACUGUGAAAUCAGCUCCUUUUCUGCUGCUUCCCUCGUUUCCUCUUUCCUCUCAUCCACUUUUCCUCCUCACUUAUGCUUUCCCCCAGCUUCUUGCCCUUUCGAAGAUCACUUCCAACACUUUUCCCCCCUUCCUGCUGAGAGCACAACCUCUCCUUUAUUUCCAUGCAGCACGGACUCCUCCGUUAAUAUCCCUUCCUCCUUUCUUCUUCUCUUCCUCCCUCCUGUGAGAUUGCUGUUGUGUCUUAUGGCUUUUUAUUCCUACGUGAUUGGUAGAUGGGUUCAUGUAGGAGUAGAAGCCACUAAACACGCGGCGAGUGCUCAACGCGCUGGCCAGCUUCCUGUGGAUAUGACAGCUGCCAUGUUCACAUCAGUGUCCUGCCCAUUAUCAGGAAUGAGCCCACAAUAGAAACAGCACAGGGGUAAUCACCGCAGAGUUGGCUGCUGUUUCUUUCCAGACCAGAUUUUAAAUUUAAAAAGACUUUCAAACGACUUAAUUAAAUGCUUAUUGUACUUAACUGAAGCAUUGGUUUUUGGACAAUAGAGCAGAAUGGACAUCAUUUUUGGGCUGGCAAAUCCUAAACUGUGAACAGACCUACUUUCUCACAAAGAUUCCCCACCUGCAUGCACGCUGCACUGAAUUUCACGCUCAUUCCUGCUUUCCUCUUCUCCAGGGUCACAGCACAGAAAUGGAGGUACAAGUUCUCAAAAUAGAGAUCAGAGGGAAAUGAAAUACUUUGCAGCGGUAGGUCAUCGAUGCUGUUGAAAUAUGUGUAGAAGCAGUGAGAACGGAGCAGCAGCUGUCUCAAGAUACUGUUGGACUUUUUCAUUAUUUCUAUGAAACAAUGAAAAUGAACCACUGCAUUUAAAACCCUUUGUGAUGUUUUUGUUUUGCAGUUUGUCUUACAACAUAGAAAAAUAUAGAAAAAUAUACCACAUGAAUAAGGAGUUUUGUAUAAAUAGAUGGAUAGAGUUAAGAAUUUACUAUCAUCUUUUAUCAUUUGUGAGUUAAGGUCUAUUUCUCUCCUACAAAACAAAACUAGCCUCUUAUUUACAUUCUUAAGACCUCUUCCAGCAAAUAACCCGCAUGUAAAAAACAAUCACGGACAAUGACAUUCUUUGACACUAUGAUAUUAGUCACAUUUAUUGCACACUUAAUUACAUUUCUGAAUUGAGCAAAUGUCGAUUUUCGUUAUGUGUGAAUUUCCGAAUAAUGAAAAAUGUGCAGUUGUUUUUGCAGCCUUUUUGCAUGUGAAUUUGGCACAAAUUUACCAGAGAAAUUGCAACAUUCUGUGGUAUUGGUGCACUUUGCAAAAUAGUUCUCCUCUACAGCUUUUUCACUUUUUAAUGAUGACUUUUUCCACGGUUCAAUUUGCUAAACACACAUUAUUCGCUCCAGUUUUGAUUGCAAAAAAAUUAAUUCAAUGUUGCGCUACAGUCCACCUUAAAUACAAGUCUGAUAUUUGAAUACUUUGAAGCUCCUUUUUGGUCUCCACCAGCUCCUGAGGAAAUUGUCCGUCUCUUCAGCUUUUAAAUGCUCCACUAUGUUCACCCAAUUGUUCUUUAACUACUGUUGGAUAUUUAGAGCUGAGUGACUGAGUGGGUUUUUGUCACAUUAGUAGAGAUUUUAGGUCAUUAAAGGCAAACAACCCGUAAUAGUAACAAAAACCAAAACAAGGAGCAGAAAGAGGCUAAAACAGUCAAAGUAGAUGUGGAGGUAGAUGAUGAUUAAUGUUGGUUUAGCUGCAAAUUAAAAUUUUUCCCAUAUUGAUGUAAGUAUGUGACCUGUAUAUGUUAUGAUUUAGGAGUAGACAGACUGUAGAGGCUUUACAUCAUGUGGUAUUUUCUGGUAAAAUCAUAUUUUGGUAAUUCACAGAUAUUCUCUCUAUCAGAUGGGAGAGACGAGCACUGUCCCUUUAAAGCUUUUAGCACCCAGCCUGAAAACUAUAACCCAGCUCACUGCAAGCCUCAUAAAUUCCUGUUCACUCACAAAUUAGGUCUGGGACAUUUUGGCCGGCUCAAAAUGCUUAAUAACGGCAACUUUCAGCCUGAAGUGAACUCGGUGUCAACCAAUUAAGCAGGACAUUCAAAUUAUCCUGCCCCUGUUGGGUCCACUUGGGUGCUCCGGGAUUUUGGUUUAAAUGUCAACCGUGUGUUUGUAUUUGCUGUAAAAGAGGCUGCUGGCUCUCUCCUCCAGAGCAGAAUCUUAAUAAAGCCUAAAUGUACUGUUGUCGGGGACCAAAAACUGAAUUAUUAAUCCCUGGAUAUUACAAGAGUUUGACACAUGCUUGCGAUUGUGUGACAUUACCUCUGCGCCGAUACCAGGCAGAUAAUUAUUCAAGAUGAAAUUGCAAUAGAUACGGUCUGCUGAGGUUUAAUGAUUAAUUCAAGGCUGUAAGUUGUUGUGAUCUAAUAUUCAGUGGGCGGGUUGGGAAGUUUCUUUAGCUUGCAUUAUCGGUUUAAUUUAUUUUUCAGGUUCCCACUCCUACGUAGAGUUUUUCCCCCUCUUCUUUGCAGAGCCACGAGGAGGUCUGAGAGAAUAGCAGAGCAGCGGAGACAAUUUAGAGGAGGCUGAGAAAGGAUUCGAUCCUGGACCAGCGGGGGUCCAUGGGAAUCCAAAGGUGGGAAUAAACUAACAAGAGGUUUGAAUAAUUUAAGACAGCGCUGAACAUGAAGGGGGAGUUGUGUUUGAAUAGAUCGCUGCCAUCCAUCUGAUUCGCCUGAGGGUGUGUGCGGGUUUUUCUGCAUUUCUUGAUUGUGAUCCGACUGUGUUGUCAGCCUCACAUUUCCAAAAUGUCAGAAAAUAAAACGAGAAAAAAGGCUGCACAACCUCAUUUCCUCUCUGACUGCCAUGCAUUUUUUAAAGCCACGCUUUGUUUUCAUGUGUCCUCGGGUUAUGAAACUUCAUUGAGCUCUACAAGGUCACAAUCCCCUCAAGUUCAGGUAAAAAUCAUCAAAACCAGAGUAAUGGGAUUUCCAUCUGACAGCAGCAAUAAUGUGGUGUGUUUGUGUACAGUAGGUUGAAUGUACAAGUGUUGUGCUACUGUAUCCGACCCCCCUCAGGCUACACUUUCCCCCCUCCUGUAAUAAAUAAUGCUCUUUUGUGUUCCCCGCUUCAUUUGUUCCCCUGUUGUAACGUCUGCGCUGCUCAAUAAAUUAUGAAUCAACCUGC
rnacentral:lncRNA from 1 species